rnacentral:tRNA from 1 species
GGUCACGAUAGCUCAAGUGGUAGAGCAGCGGCGUACCAAGCCGAAGGUCGUGGGUUCGAAUCCCGCUCGUACCA